GCUACAUCCUAGCUCCUCCUGUGUACUUUGAAUUAUUUCUAAAUAACUUUUUUUGUUUUUUGUUUUUUUGAGACAGGAUCUUGCUCUGUAAUUUAGGCUGGCCUUAAACUCACUAUGUAGCCCAGGUUGGCCUUGAACUCGUGGGAAUCCUCCUGCCUCAGCCUCCUGCUUGCUGGUAUUACAGAUAUGCACCACUACCAUGCCCAGCUCUUGAUACUUUAGAAUCCCUUAUAUGAUGUAAAUGCUCUGGAAAUAGUUUUUCUGCUGUUCUAUUUAGAGAAUAAUGACAAGAAAAGAAACUCUACCCGCUCAGCACAGAUGUACCAUGCAGGCCUAACUACAUCACACAUGUUAGCAAUAACAUAACUAGUUUUUUUUCUAAUUUUUUGAUUCCUGAUUGGUUGAACCAAGGAUGAAAACCCCAUUAAAUCAGAGGGCCUGUGUGGGUGUGAAGGAAACACCUGUCCCUCUUUUUAAUGGGAUUAUUAUGUCUGGGAAGUAAAGCAGUUGCUAUAAUACAGUGGUAGCUGUGAGGAACAGAAGCUCAUUGAAGGAACACAGGAGCGGCUCCAUGUUGAGUUACAGGAGCGACAUCCAAGCAGAAACCCCAAGGGGUCUCUCGAAGCACCGCAUCUCCUGGGCCUUUGCAGAGGAAUGGUUUCGGAUAAAGAGCAGUGAAAGCCUGGACAGAGGGACUUCCGUCCACUUUCCUUGCCUUUUGCAGGAAAGAUCCAAUGCAAAAGAGCACUGUAGUUCAGACUGCCAUCCUGUACCCAUCCGUCCACUUCCUAGUCAAUAGAGGAGCCAAACAGUGGUGCAGUAGAAGGCCUCUCCACAGCCUGCAGCCCAUUGUGACUCCUUCAAGACCAGAGUGCAGCCCCCACCAGCUCCAUUUCCUACCUGAGAAAGGAUUCCUCCCACUUAUCCCAACAAUAACAAGC
rnacentral:lncRNA from 1 species